ACGUCACUUCCGGGUGUGGCUUUAUUCUCCGAGGCGCCGCAACCUCACAGCGGCAGGUACAGCGAGUAGUCGGAGAGCGCCCAGCGGCGGGCCGGGCGGCCGGUACGGCCGAUCAUGGGCAGCUUCUGCACGUAGCGGGACGCGGGGCUGGGCCCAUAUGGGGCAGGAAAGGCAGUUUGAAAGAGGCGCCCGCGGCAGCGCCGCCCGGCCUGACGCCCUGCGAUUAUAAACCGGAAGUGUGGGGCGCCACGGGGCGCGAAGCGGCUCUUCUGGAAGACGUCUCGCGUUCCCGCGCCGGGGCCCUGCUGACGAGGAGCACCCCGCGCCCGGUGUACGCGCGGUAGCGGCCUGCUCUCCGAGGCGGCGGUGGCGGUGGCGAGAGUCCCACCGCACGGGCUUUCGUCACCCUGAGGGCUGACCACGGCGCUGGCAGUCAGCUGCGGCAUUUUCCGCACCGAAUCCGGGGCAGCCGCAGGCUCCUUCUUGUCUCCGGGUGGUCGCGGGGCCGUGGGAGCAGGCUGGCCAGUGCCAAAGCGAGUGGCCAAGCUGUCACCAAAGAAGGAGUAUAGCUCACGGUAGAUGUCUGCCAGGGUCAAGGAAGAAGGGUCCUCUGGUCCCGCAACCCCUGAUGGUGGCGGGAGACCAGACCCAAAACCUGUUUCGGAGCUGCCCCCGGGGGGAGAUUCUUGUAGGAGAAGGCUGUCCCAAGGCAGGUCCUCCGCAGGACGGUACCCUCUCCCGCCAAGGCCACCGCGGUUGGGCUCUGCUGCCUGAGCUUUCAUCUUCAAUAGUCGUUCUACGGCCACCUGUAAACAGAGAGCUAAGAGGAACCUGGGCCCAAGAGCCAUGGCAAAGUAAAUCUGCUAAGCUCCUGCAGGAAAGAGAAGGUGGGACUGCUAACUCACCAGAAUGGCUCCAUACACUUUGUGCCCGUCCGCUUUGACCUGGGCAUUAGAUACGGAAUAGUCAUCCAGCACAGCCUGCAAGUUUGUCCAGUAAGUGGGCAGAUGUGGGUAGAGGACUCGCUCCACUGCCUGGAAUGCAAAGGACUGCAGUCAAGCAACCUUGUUCCAAAUGCCCUCUUCAGUGCCCUUUCCCACAAAAGAUCCACUCAAUUUUUGACAGGGCUCAGUCCUCUAUUUCCUUAUUGACAUAUCCCACGUCUCUGGGAUCUAUUGUAUGCAUAAGCUUUUGGUAAGCAUAAGGGAUCAAAACAUACAAAUACAUGCAAUAUUAAAAAGCCCCAUUACUGGCAUUUACUCUGAGCUAUUUAGGCAUAAUUAAAUCAUUAAGACACAGAAAUUGUUUGCAGACUGCUAGUAAAUACAAUCAGUAAGGAAGUGGUGUACUUGUUAGAGAAAUGAGAGCUGAGUUUAGACCACACACAUAAAAACAAUACUGGGAGCCCAGACUGGGCCUUGAAUUCAUGAGAAUUCCCUUUCUUUCAUUUCCCAAACUGGGAUUAUACAGGCAGUGUACUACUACACAUGACUUUGUAAAGUUUUAAAUGGUGUAAUCAUCUGGGGGCAAAACAUGCUUAACAAAGACAAUGACAUUAGAGAUGGGCUUUGACAUAUAAGGUAGACUUGGAUCACUCAUCCAGAGCAUAAACAUUUGACAAUGCUGACCAAACUCCUGGGGAAAAUGCUGAAAGAAAUAGGGAUUAUAUUUUAUGGAAGACAUCAGAACAUCCUGCUAGAAUUUAUAGAUAUUACUAUACACUCAGAAAAGCUAUCUUAGCAGCAGCCAUCCUCCAGAUGAUUGUUCCAGAGUCAAUACAUGCCGGGCUUCCUCCAAGCUAUGAGACAAUCAAAAAAGGUGACUGAACUCGGGGAACUCCUCAACAACUCAGCUGUUGUGAGGACCACUGUGAUCAACACACCCAGUUCUGUGUCUGACCAUGUGGUCUGGUCCCUGUUCAAUGCACUCUUCAAUGCUGCUGCCUGGGCUUCAUUGCCUAUGCCUACUCUGUGAAGUCCAGGGACAGGAAGAUGGUGGGCGAGAUGACUGGAGACCAGGCCAAGUGCCUGAAUCUUCAGCAUCCUUAUGGUUAUUAUCAUUAUUAUCAUUAUUUCCUCUACCACCUCUGUGGCAGUCUUUCAUUUUUACAAAGAAUGCCACAUUCUAGAUUCUAGCUGCCCUGUGUUCCACUAUCCACAUCUGGCCCUCCCCUUAGGCUGAGGCCUUGACCCUUUACCCUAUGCAUGCAAAUGUUACCUUCACAGAUCAGUUCACAGCAGAUUCAAUAAAGUACACUUGGUGGAAAAAAGCAAAGCAAAGCUAUCUUAACAGUAAAUGAGGUAGACUUUGAGAAUGAGGUAGCCUGUAACUCUAGCAUUCAGGAGCUUGAGUCCAAGUUUGAGGCCAGCCUGGGCUUCACUUUUAAGUCCCUGUUUUUGUUUUUGUUUUUAAAAAACCAAGCAUGGUGGCUCAAGCCUUUAAUCCCAACAAUGAAGGGUAGGGAGUUAGGGGCUAAGG